GGUGGGAGGGAGGCCGGCUUUUGAGCUGUUGAGAGCCUUGGGCUGUCCCCUCCUAUGGACAUGCAAUCAGGCCCAGGGCCACCAGACUUGACACUGCAGACAGAGAUAAUAGAGCCAGGUGCUGGAGUACUGAAAGGUGAGGAGUAGUAGAGAGGGAAGGCUGAGGCCAGGUGGUGAGUCAUGUGACUGACUGCUCUGCUGGGAAGUGGGCACCUGGACCCCGCCCACAACGUCCCACAACACUUGGUCGAGCUGGCCAAUGGUCCGCCGGCCAAUGGUCCCCCGCCCCACGGACCCGUCUGCAAAGUGUGUGUGGGUGCGGGAGAGGUCGCCAUGGGCCAGGGAAGCUUUGGGGGUGAGAAGACAAGCACUCGGUACUCGAAGCCGCGUGCAGGCCCACAGACCUUCCUAGUUUCCACCCCAGGGGCAGGCCGGCACCCGGCGAUACAGGGGCUACGAGGAGCGGCCAUACUUACACCACCAGGCGACAGAUCAUCCAGGACACCAUCCUGCAGCCUCCGCGCGAACAGGAAACUUCCCCAGGAAGACGCUCAGAGAGUCGCUCACGCUGGGACUGGGGUACCAGUGAAGGUGCGGGGACACAGAGGCGCUCGGGCUACCCCUUGCCCACUGGCCCCCGACUCCGCGGUGCGCCAAGCCUAAAGGACCGAGAGUCCCAACCGGCUAGGGGGAGGAGCCCACUCGGGGCCGCACCACGGGCGCCCCCCGCCGCCCCCCGGCGCCGCGCGGUCACUCAAGGCUCCGGCCCCCACUUCCUGCCACGGGUCGCCUAGCGUUCGGCCCUUGCCGGGGAUGACGGGUCGCGGCCUCUGCUCGCUCCGGUGCCCGCGGUCCCAGUGCUCUGGGCCACCGGCCUGGCCUCGGGGCGGAGUUUACAGCUCACUUAAAAGUUGCACGGAACUGGGCUCUGCCCAACCCCAGGGCUCCGGCAGGCGGCGCAAGCGCAGUGCGGCCCUGGGGGGCGGGGCUAAGUCUGGGAGGCGAGCGCCUGCCCCUUAAAGAGGUGACGAGCCUCAGCCUCGCGGGUGGGGCCGAUAGGUCCAACAGCCGGGCGUCCAAACUGAAAGACUGGAAGUGGGAAGCGACGAAAAAAACUAGGAGGAAGGAAACAAAGGCAAUCUGGAUCCCAGGGUUUUCUUCACAGGCUUUCCCCUUCUGCCUCGUUUUCUUCUGUAAAAUAGGAAAGGACGUGAGAUGGGGGGUGGUUCCCCUUUGGAGGCUCAGGCACAAACUAGAAGCAGGCUUGGCGAGAGCCGGCCCGUAGGAACAGGAGACCAGCGCCCCGAAGAGUCCGAGCUGGCCAGAGGGGAAAAAAGGGAGGAAGCAGGUAGAAGGCAACUGAGGGCCUCACCGCCCAGACGAGUGGACUUCAGGAAGUGACCGCUUCCUUGGGCUGCAUUUCCAGGAACCACACGCGGCAGGGUGACCCGAGGAUUAGAGAUUCAGGGUAGAGCUCCUCACCGCCAUGCCUCCCCACCGUUUGCCUCACCAGAAGUUUGAAAUUCCACCUAUUCCUGCGAGUCAAGAACAAUAUUCUUGAGAGCUUAAUAUCACCGAUUGCAAUUGCCUUGUUGCCGUGCAUUUUCGUGUCCCGGAUUUUGAUCUUUACAAAGGACCUUUUUUACCAUUUAGGAAAUGCACUGGCCUAGUGAUGAAAAGUAGCUUGCCCACCAUCACCCGGUGGCAUCUGUUGCUGGAGGGUGGAUAAAGGGCUGGCUGCCCCUGGAGGGAGUCUGGGAGUGGAGAAGCUCCCCUGGGAGGAGGGUUGGACGUGGAAGAAUACUGGGGCCUCAAGAGAGAAGGUGAACUUUGCUGCCUCCACAGCUUUUUGUGUAGGGCCCUGUUCUUUGUACGGCUUCUGCUUAAUGUCUCAUUCCUCCCUCUGACAAUGGGGAGCACAGCAUCCCCCCACCCUGAGCACCCUGUGCUUCACAAGUCUGAGGGAAGGAGGCCAGCAGAGCUGCUCUGAGCUGUGGGGGUAGAAAACUCAAGUAGUCAUUACUUUUUAUCAAAGUUAAAACCCACCACUUAUCAAAAGGAUGAAAUAGGUAAUGAUGGGGGCCAAGGAAAGUAGGCUUCUUGGGAAUAAAAACACACGGUGAUUUUAUAGUCUUAA